UGGCUCUCGCAUCGAUGAAGAACGCAGCGAAAUGCGAUACGUAAUGUGAAUUGCAGAAUUCAGUGAAUCAUCGAAUCUUUGAACGCACCUUGCACUCUUUGGUAUUCCGAAGAGUAUGUCUGUUUGAGUGUCAUGAAACUCUCAACCCCCUUAUUUUGUAAUGAAGUAAGUGUGGGCUUGGUUCAUGGUUGUUGAAGGUUCCACGGCCUUCUCAGCUGAAAUACACGAGCUACCUAUUUUAUAAUAGACGGUUUGACUCGGCGUAAUAACUAUUUCGCUGAGGACGUCAUUUUAUAAUAGUAAAUGGUGCUUCUAAUUCAACAUUAAUCUAAGCUUUAGACCUCAAAUCAGUCAGGACUACCCGCUGA
rnacentral:misc_RNA from 1 species